AACGAACGCUGGCGGCAUGCCUAACACAUGCAAGUCGAACGAGACCUUCGGGUCUAGUGGCGCACGGGUGCGUAACGCGUGGGAACCUGCCCUUAGGUUCGGAAUAACUCCCCGAAAGGGGUGCUAAUACCGGAUAAUGUCUUCGGACCAAAGAUUUAUCGCCUUUGGAUGGGCCCGCGUUGGAUUAGCUAGUUGGUAGGGUAAAAGCCUACCAAGGCGACGAUUCCAUAGCUGGUCUGAGAGGAUGAUCAGCCACACUGGGACUGAGACACGGCCCAGACUCCUACGGGAGGCAGCAGUGGGGAAUAUUGGACAAUGGGCGAAAGCCUGAUCCAGCAAUGCCGCGUGAGUGAUGAAGGCCUUAGGGUUGUAAAGCUCUUUUACCCGGGAUGAUAAUGACAGUACCGGGAGAAUAAGCGCCGGCUAACUCCGUG
rnacentral:rRNA from 1 species